UACGAGGGGGCAAGUGUUGUUCGGAAUCACUGGGCGUAAAGGGAGCGUAGGCGGGCUCUUAAGUUGGAUGUUUAAAACCGGGGCCCAACCCCGGCGUGGCAUCCAAAACUGGGAGUCUUGAAUGGAACAGAGGCUAGUGGAAUUGGAGGUGUAGCGGUGGAAUGCGUAGAGAUCCGGAAGAACACCGGUGGCGAAGGCGGUUAGCUGGGCAGUUGCUGACACUGAGGCGCGACAGCGUGGGAGCAAACAGG
rnacentral:rRNA from 1 species